rnacentral:rRNA from 1 species
CCUACGGGAGGCAGCAGUGGGGAAUAUUGGACAAUGGGGGGAACCCUGAUCCAGCCAUGCCGCGUGUGUGAAGAAGGCCCUCGGGUUGUAAAGCACUUUCAGUGAGGAAGAACGCCUGGUGGUUAAUACCCAUCAGGAAAGACAUCACUCACAGAAGAAGCACCGGCUAACUCCGUGCCAGCAGCCGCGGUAAUACGGAGGGUGCGAGCGUUAAUCGGAAUUACUGGGCGUAAAGCGCGCGUAGGUGGCUUGAUAAGCCGGUUGUGAAAGCCCCGGGCUCAACCUGGGAACGGCAUCCGGAACUGUCAAGCUAGAGUGCAGGAGAGGAAGGUAGAAUUCCCGGUGUAGCGGUGAAAUGCGUAGAGAUCGGGAGGAAUACCCGUGGCGAAGGCGGCCUUCUGGACUGACACUGACACUGAGGUGCGAAAGCGUGGGUAGCAAUCAGGAUUAGAUACCCUAGUAGUA